rnacentral:rRNA from 1 species
CGGGGAAUAUUGGACAAUGGGCGAAAGCCUGAUCCAGCCAUGCCGCGUGUGUGAAGAAGGUCUUCGGAUUGUAAAGCACUUUAAGUUGGGAGGAAGGGCAGUAAGCGAAUACCUUGCUGUUUUGACGUUACCGACAGAAUAAGCACCGGCUAACUCUGUGCCAGCAGCCGCGGUAAUACAGAGGGGGCAAGCGUUAAUCGGAAUUACUGGGCGUAAAGCGCGCGUAGGUGGUUCGUUAAGUUGAAUGUGAAAGCCCCGGGCUCAACCUGGGAACUGCAUCCAAAACUGGCGAGCUAGAGUAGGGCAGAGGGUGGUGGAAUUUCCUGUGUAGCGGUGAAAUGCGUAGAGAUAGGAAGGAACACCAGUGGCGAAGGCGACCACCUGGGCUCAUACUGACACUGAGGUGCGAAAGCGUGGGGAGCAAACAGG